rnacentral:rRNA from 1 species
GACGAACGCUGGCGGCGUGCUUAACACAUGCCAGUAGAACGGAAAGGCCCUGCUUUUGUGGGGUGCUUGAGUGGCGAACGGGUGAGUAACACGUGAGUAACCUGCCCUUGACUUUGGGAUAACUUCUGGAAACUGUGGCUAAUACCGGAUAGGAGCUCCUGCUGCAUGGUGGGGGCUGGAAAGUUUCGGCGGCUGGGGUUGGACGUGCGGCUUAUCAGCUUGUUGGUGGGGUAGUGGCUUACACAGGCGUGGGCGGGCAGCCGGCCUGAGAGGGUGACCGGCCACAGUGGGCCUGGGGAGGGGGCAGGACGGCAACGGGGGGAAGCGGUGGAAAAUAUUGCGCACUGGGCGGAGGCCGUAUGGAGCGUCGCCGGGUGGGGGAGGUCUGUCGUCGGGGUAGAAACCGUGUGCGCGUGUGACGAAGCGAGUGUGACGGUAAUUGGUAAGGAAGCACCGGCUAACUACGUG